UACGUCCACAUCGCGUUGAAACACCGGUUCCCGUACGAUCACCGAAGUUAAGCAACGUCGAGCCAAGUCAGUGCCUAGAUGGGUGGCCGCUUAGAAGUAUCAAGUGCUGUAAG